CCUGCAUGUUCCUGGCCGUGAGUUUGUUCUUGUUCCUUGUUUCACCCGCCUGCGGAUCACAGUGCGUUACAGUGAGGUCUGCAUGGCAGCGUCAGCACCGUCUGACUCCAUCAGCAACGGCUCCAAGGAUUCAAGAGUCUCUGUUGACAGGAAAUGAGGGGCUCUUCAAGGAGCAGGAAAGGUGCCAAUACCCACAACACACUGGCAUGACAAGUCUUACAUUUCGCAGGACAAUUGAUUUGUUUGUGGGCUGUAAACAGUGUUCUGUUCAAAUGUAUAUUAUACUGCCAUGACUUGAAGGUCUGAUGCCAUCAGGGGUGGAGAAGAUAUCCUUUACUUUAGAACACAACACUGUAAAAAUACCCCAUGAGAAACAUAACUCUUUUAAAGACUUUAAUUGAGGUAAUAGUAUUUCUAAAAGUUAUUAUUUGAUUAAAUAGUAUUACUCAUGAUAAAACAAUGGUAGGAGCUUAAAUUGGAGCAUUUGACCCAAAACUAAUUAUUUUCGCAUUAAAAUAGUGAGAAAUAUGAUCAAAAUUGCCCAGAGCCCAAAGUUACACCUUUGGUCUUCUGGACUUCAAAUUAUUAAAAAUAAUUCAAAAAUAAAAUAUUAAAAAAAGAAUGCUAAAUGAUAACAUUUGUCAACCAACUACUCUUUUUAGCUCUUAUUGUAUAAUACAUGUUUGUGUUCAAUCUACUUUUGUAAAGAAACUAAAUCUGUGUAAAGACUAUUCCUUUGAAUUGUACUGUAAAGUGACAUGAGAAUAAAUUACUCGAGUAAAUGUA